GACGAACGCUGGCGGCGUGCUUAACACAUGCAAGUCGAACGGAAAGGCCCUGCUUUUGUGGGGUGCUCGAGUGGCGAACGGGUGAGUAACACGUGAGUAACAUGCCCUUGACUUUGGGAUAACUUCAGGAAACUGGGGCUAAUACCGGAUAGGAGCUCCUGCUGCAUGGUGGGGGUUGGAAAGUUUCGGCGGUUGGGGAUGGACUCGCGGCUUAUCAGCUUGUUGGUGGGGUAGUGGCUUACCAAGGCUUUGACGGGUAGCCGGCCUGAGAGGGUGAACGGGCACAUGAGGACUGAGAUACGGACCAGACUCCUACGGGAGGCAGCAGUGGGGAAUAUUGCACAAUGGGCGGGAGCCUGAUGCAGCAACGCCGCGUGCGGGAUGACGGCCUUCGGGUUGUAAACCGCUUUCGCCUGUGACGAAGCGUGAGUGACGGUAAUGAGUAAAGAAGCACCGGCUAACUACGUG
rnacentral:rRNA from 1 species